CUUUUAUAAUUAGGUCUUUCCACUUUUCUGUGGAAAGACCUAUUGUUUUUCUUCUGAUUAUUUUUUUUUUUUUUUUUUUUUCUUCCGCCAAAUUUUGUUCUUGCGAUAAACAUUUGUUUCGCAAUAUGUCGCUUAGAUAUUUGGUAUAUGAUAUCGAACAGUUUAUGCUCUUUUGAAAUUUACCCUGCGUAACCGAAUACUUUUCUUUGUAGGAGUUAUCUCCCCAAACACUGUUUUCCUUGUUAGCGCAUCUCCUUCGCAACCGUAAAAGAUUACGACAAAUUUAUUUUAUAAAAUUGCUCGUUAUAUCCUUCGCAUGAUUUGUCCAAUUUCGACCGAAGCAAUAUGAACGCUCCAUAUGAGAGUUAUUUCCCUU
rnacentral:lncRNA from 1 species